GGUCAUUUAGAGGAAGUAAAAGUCGUAACAAGGUCUCUGUAGGUGAACCUGCGGAGGGAUCAUUACAGAGUUCAUGCCCGCCUCGGGUAGAUCUCCCACCCUGUGUUAUUAUCACUUUGUUGCUUUGGCGGGCCGUCAGGCCUCGGCCUGGCUACCGGCGCUCGCUGGUACGCGCCCGCCAGAGGACCCCAAACCCUGAAUGUUAGUGUCGUCUGAGUACUAUUACAAUAGUUAAAACUUUCAACAACGGAUCUCUUGGUUCUGGCAUCGAUGAAGAACGCAGCGAAAUGCGAUAAGUAAUGUGAAUUGCAGAAUUCACUGAAUCAUCGAAUCUUUGAACGCACAUUGCGCCCCUUGGUAUUCCGAGGGGCAUGCCUGUUCGAGCGUCAUUACAACCCUCAAGCACAGCUUGGUCUUGGGCUCCGCCGCGCUUGCCGGCGGGCCUCAAAAUCAGUGGCGGUGCCGUCGAGGCCCUGAGCGCAGUAAACAUCCUCGCUAUAGGGACCCGGCGGACGCUGGCCAGCAACCCCAACUCUCCAUGUUUGACCUCGGAUCAGGUAGGGAUACCCGCUGAACUUAAGCAUAUCAAUAAG
rnacentral:rRNA from 1 species